CUUGACCUCGGAUCAGGUAGGGAUACCCGCUGAACUUAAGCAUAUCAAA
rnacentral:rRNA from 1 species